rnacentral:rRNA from 1 species
AGAGUUUGAUCGUGGCUCAGGAUGAACGCUAGCGGCGCGCUUAAUGCAUGCAAGUCGAGCGAUGAGGCUCCUUCGGGAGUACAUCAGCGGCAGACGGGUGAGUAACACGUAGGUGACCUACCCCAAAGACGGGGAUAACCGGUGGAAACAUUGGCUAAUACCCGAUACGCUCAAGGGGUCAAAGCCUUGAGGAAAGCUUCGGUGCUUUGGGAGGGGCCUGCGGCCCAUCAGCUAGUUGGUAGGGUAACGGCCUACCAAGGCAGAGACGGGUAGGGGGUGUGAGAGCACGGCCCCCCACAAUGGGACUGAGACACGGCCCAUACUCCUACGGGAGGCAGCAGCAGGGAAUAUUGCCCAAUGGACGGAAGUCUGAGGCAGCGACGCCGCGUGGGUGAUGACGGCCUUCGGGUUGUAAAGCCCUUUUCUGGGGGAAGAGAGAGGACGGUACCCCAGGAAUAAGCGUCGGCUAACUGCGUGCCAGCAGCCGCGGUAAGACGUAGGACGCGAGCGUUAUCCGGAUUUACUGGGCGUAAAGCGUCUGUAGGCGGUCGACUAAGUUGGGCGUGAAAGCUCCGGGCUCAACCCGGAGAGGCCGUUCAAUACUGGUUGGCUAGAGGGUGUCAGAGGGGCGUGGAAUUCCCAGUGUAGCGGUAAAAUGCGCGGAUAUCGGGAGGAACACCAGUGGCGAAGGCGGCGCCCUGGGGCAAACCUGACGCUGAGAGACGAAAGCUAGGGGAGCGAACAGGAUUAGAGACCCUGGUAGUCCUAGCCCUAAACGCUGGAUGCUAGGUGUGGGGUCGAGUUGACUCUGUGCCGCAGCUAACGCGAUAAGCAUCCCGCCUGGGGACUACGGCCGCAAGGUUAAAACUCAAACGAAUUGACGGGGACCCGCACAAGCAGCGGAGCGUGUGGUUUAAUUCGAUACUACACGAAGAACCUUACCUGGGUUUGACAUGCAUGUGGUAGCGAAGCGAAAGCGGAGCGACCCUUCGGGGAGCGUGCACAGGUGCUGCAUGGCUGUCGUCAGCUCGUGCCGUGAGGUGUCGGGUUAAGUCCCGUAACGAGCGCAACCCUUGCCCUUAGUUAUACGUGUCUAGGGGGACUGCCGGCGGGAAGCCGGAGGAAGGUGGGGAUGACGUCAAGUCAGCAUGGCCUUUAUGUCCAGGGCUACACACACGCUACAAUGGCCGGUACAAAGGGCAGCAAAGCCGCGAGGUGGAGCGAAUCCCAGCAAAGCCGGUCGUAGUUCGAAUAGCAGGCUGCAACCCGCCUGCUUGAAGCUGGAGUUGCUAGUAACCGCGCGUCAGCCAUAGUGCGGUGAAUACGUUCCCGGGUCUUGUACACACCGCCCGUCACGUCAUGGGAGUCGGUAACGCCUGAAGCCGGUAGCUUAGCCCUUACGGGGGAGCGCUGUCGAGGGUGGGGCUGGCGACUGGGACGAAGUCGUAACAAGGUA